rnacentral:lncRNA from 1 species
UCUGCCUAUAGAGGCCUGGGGUCCCUUUGGCAGCACUUUUCUCAAGAAAGUAGAGUCGUGGACAACCAACUGCACAGGUUGGGAGGCUUUGAAGAACAAGCUGCCAUGAAUCCUGCAGCUACAAGGAAAUGAACUCUAUUAACUUGAGUGAGCUUAAAACUAGAUCCUUCCCCAGUCAAGCCUCCAGGUGAGAAUUCAAUCCUGGCUGGCACCUGGAUUGCAGCUUACAGAAGACCCAGCUAAGGCCAUGUCUGGACUUUAAAUCCACAGGAACUGCAAGAUGGUAUCAGAAGUGGGACCUGCAGUGGGGCAUCUAGCAACCCCCAGGAGCAUUGAGUGACCAGGCUUGGGACCCACCGGGCGCAGGGUGUCCAUUGUUCUCUCGAAGCAACUGAGAAUUGUGGAUAUUCUUCAUUAUUCCAUCAUCAUCUCAAACCUCUUGGGUAUAGUGUUUGACUACUACUGUGACCAUAAAUUCCAAUAAAACCUAGGAAAAAUGAAACCACUACAUUAACUGAAAGGGAAGGAUUUGACAGCUUCUUUUGGGCAUAUCAGAAUCGCCAGCAUCACUACUCUUGCACUGUGCGGCCAUUAUUAAGUGAAAUAAGGAUUACUUGAACACAAGCACUGCAAUGCCGCUACAGUCAAUGUGAUAACCCAGCUGGUGACUAAGUGACCAAGGACGGGGAGUAUCUACAGCGGGGAGACUCUGGAAAAAGGGAGGAUUCACAUCCAGUGCCACUGGGGCAGGGCAGAAUGAGAGUUCAUCAUGCUACAAAGAAUGGCACAGAAUAUACGACUUGAUAAGACAUGAUGGACAGAAAUUUCCAUGCAAUUAUUCCAUUCUGGUGAGAUUAGAAGGUGCUAAGCAGAUAAAGAAAUCAUCUUAUCAAGAAGGAAAAGUACCAUUUACUGAAGAAGGUCUGCUAAACUUUAAUCAUGACUGAAAAUAUAAAAAGACACUUUAAAUGGAUAAAUGCAGCUAUUGCACACAAUUGACAUGGCUGUAGAGAUGACAGAGUGAAGAGGUAUUUGAUCAGUCAUUUGUUAUAAAAGCUCAGGGAAAACA